GACGAACGCUGGCGGCGUGCCUAAUACAUGCAAGUCGAGCGAAUGGAUUAAGAGCUUGCUCUUAUGAAGUUAGCGGCGGACGGGUGAGUAACACGUGGGUAACCUGCCCAUAAGACUGAGAUAACUCCGGGAAACCGGGGCUAAUACCGGAUAACAUUUUGAACCGCAUGGUUCGAAAUUGAAAGGCGGCUUCGGCUGUCACUUAUGGAUGGACCCGCGUCGCAUUAGCUAGUUGGUGAGGUAACGGCUCACCAAGGCAACGAUGCGUAGCCGAACUGAGAGGGUGAUCGGCCAACCUGGGAAUGAGACACGGCCCAGACUCCUACGGGAGGCAGCAGUAGGGAAUCUCCCGCAAUGGACGAAAGUCUGACGGAGCAACGCCGCGUGAGUGAUGAAGGCUUUCGGGUCGUAAAACUCUGUUGUUAGGGAAGAACAAGUGCUAGUUGAAUAAGCUGGCACCUUGACGGUACCUAACCAGAAAGCCACGGCUAACUACGUGCCAGCCGCCGCAGUAA
rnacentral:rRNA from 1 species